AUGUGUGUCCCAAAGAAUCAAGGAGAGAUGAGUUUUCAUGAUAUUCAUUGUUUCAAUUUGGCAGUGCUGACUAAACAAGAUUGGCGCCUUCUUGAGAAUUCUGACACUUUAUGAGCUACUAUUCUGAGGGUAAAGUACUACCCUGAUGGCGAUUUGCAAUAUGAAUUUUAAAAGGGCUCCUCUUUUACAUGGCAAAGUAUUAUGACGGGCGUGAAUUAUCUUCAACAUGGUUAUAUUUGGCGAGUGGCAAAUGGUCAGAAUAUCAAUAUUUGGGAAGACACCUAG
rnacentral:rRNA from 1 species